AUCGCUUCUCGGCCUUUCGGUAAGAUCAAGUGUAGCGUCUGUUCCUAUCAGUUCAGUAUCUGGCACGUCCUCCAUCCCAGGGCAAUGUAGUAAAUGGGUUUUUGAAGCUGGGAGGUGGAGUAGGGGCUUACUCCGCGCAUCGGCCCGGGUGUUGCAGGGCCUCCGGGAUCGGUGCACCCCCU